rnacentral:rRNA from 1 species
CCUACGGGAGGCAGCAGUGGGGAAUCUUGGGCAAUGGGGGCAAGCCUGAUCCAGCAAUGCCGCGUGUGUGAAGAAGGCCUUCGGGUUGUAAAGCUCUUUUGUCCGGAAAGAAAACGCUCUGGUUAAUACCCGGGGCGGAUGACGGUUCCGGAACAAUAAGCNCCGGCUUACUACAUGCCAGCAGCCGCGGUAAU